AGAACGAACGCUGGCGGCAUGCCUAACACAUGCAAGUCGAACGAGACCUUCGGGUCUAGUGGCGCACGGGUGCGUAACGCGUGGGAAUCUGCCCUUGGGUUCGGAAUAACAGUUGGAAACGACUGCUAAUACCGGAUGAUGACGUAAGUCCAAAGAUUUAUCGCCCAGGGAUGAGCCCGCGUAGGAUUAGCUAGUUGGUGAGGUAAAGGCUCACCAAGGCGACGAUCCUUAGCUGGUCUGAGAGGAUGAUCAGCCACACUGGGACUGAGACACGGCCCAGACUCCUACGGGAGCAGCAGUGGGGAAUAUUGGACAAUGGGCGAAAGCCUGAUCCAGCAAUGCCGCGUGAGUGAUGGAAGGUCCUUGGUGUAAGCUACGUUUACCCGGAUCGAUAAGUGACAGUACCGGAAGAAGUAAAGCUCCGGACUAACUCCCGUAACCAAGCAAGCCCGAC
rnacentral:rRNA from 1 species